AUCGUACUCCCUCCGUCCGGAAAUACUUGUCCUACAAAUGAAUAAAAUGGAUGUAUCUAUUACUAAAAUAAGUCUAGAUACAUCCAUUUCUAGGACAAGUAUUUCCGGACGGAGGAAGUAUACA
rfam:Triticum aestivum genome assembly, contig: Triticum_aestivum_CS42_TGACv1_scaffold_514283_6BS